CCAUCUCAGAUGUUUGAGAUGGCUUUGGAAUCAGACUAAUGCGUUCAAUAAAGAACUGUCCUGCACUGAAGUGUUUAUGACUUUAGUAACUACAAACUGAUUCCAAUGACAUUGAGCUAAUUUCAUUUGAGCUAAUGAAUGUAUCUGCUCACCUUGUUCCCUUCUCAUUGAUAAGCUCCAAGUAGUAGCUACUUUUUUGGGUCAACUUUUACUGAGUUUUAUUCACUUCUUUUACCUAGUCUUUUAAUUAACAUACUGCAAAUAUUUCAUUAACAAGUGCUUUAGCUACCAUUCUGCCAUUUAAAUUUUUUAAUUUAAUUUUAUUUUGCUUGAGCACACUGGUCAACCACUGAACUGCCUUCUUCCAUUGUCCUGCAAUCAUAUAAGGAUUACAUUUUUGUGUAUAUGGCUUUCAUAGUUGGGAUUUCAGAGCACUGACACCAGAUAUUUUCAGUUUGUUCUGUGGGGGAAUUUCAUUUGCAUCUAUGUUUUUAGCUAUCUGUGAUAACUUGUUAAAUAUUAAAAAGAUAUUUUGCUUCUAUUGGAACAUUUGUAUACUCGCAACUAUAUUUCUGUAAACAGCUGCAGUCAAAAAUAAAACAUUGAAAGUUUUCA